rnacentral:lncRNA from 1 species
GAGGAAGUGAGCUGCCAUGUACUAGGCCACGUGGCAAGGGCCUGGUUGGGGACCUCCAGGGGUUGAGAGCAUCCUCUGGACAACAUGGAAAAAGAAAAUGAAAAUGGUGACCUCAGCCCUAUAGCUAGAAGGAAUUGAAUCCUGUCAACAACGAUUGGGUUCUCGGUCUCGCUGACUUCAAGAAUGAAGCCGCAGACCCUCACGGUGAGCGUUACAGUUCGUAAAGAUGUUGUGUCAGGAGUUUGUUCCUUCACAUGUUCAGAUGUGUCCGGGGUUUCUUCCUUCCGGUGGUUUCAUGGUCUCCCCGACUUGACUUCAGGAGUGAAGCCGCAGACCUCUGCAGUGAGUGCUACAGCUCAUAAAGGUAGCACAGGCCUGAAGAGUGAGCAGCAGCAAGAUUUACUGUGAAAAGCAAAAGAAUGAACCUUCCAAAGCUGGAAGGAGCCCCAAACAGGUUGCCGCGGCUGGCUCCCCUGGCCAGCUAUUAUUCCCUUAUUUGGCCCCACCCACGUCCUGCUGAUUGGUCCAUUUUACAGACCGCUGAUUGGUC